UACGUAGGGACCAAGCGUUGUCCGGAUUUAUUGGGCGUAAAGAGCUUGUAGGCGGUCUGUCGCGUCUGCUGUGAAAAUCCGGGGCUCAACCCCGGACUUGCAGUGGGUACGGGCAGACUAGAGUGUGGUAGGGGAGACUGGAAUUCCUGGUGUAGCGGUGAAAUGCGCAGAUAUCAGGAGGAACACCGAUGGCGAAGGCAGGUCUCUGGGCCACUACUGACGCUGAGAAGCGAAAGCAUGGGGAGCGAACAGG
rnacentral:rRNA from 1 species